rnacentral:tRNA from 1 species
CCCUCCAUAGUUUAAUGGAUAGAACUCCGGACUUCUAAGCCGGCUAUGCAGGUUCGAUUCCUGCUGGAGGGA